rnacentral:rRNA from 1 species
CAGGCCUAACACAUGCAAGUCGAACGAGGACCGGGUGCUUGCAUCCGGAGCCGAGUGGCGAACGGGUGAGUAACACGUGACCAAUCUGCCCUUGGGAGAGGGAUAACCUGGGGAAACCCGGGCUAAUACCGCAUGAUGUGCGACCAUCGCAUGGUGGCGGCACCAAAGGGGGGCCUCUACUUGUAAGCUCUCGCCCGGGGAGGAGGUCGCGGCGUAUCAGCUUGUUGGUGGGGUAACGGCCCACCAAGGCGACGACGCGUAGCGGGUCUGAGAGGACGAUCCGUCACAUUGGGACUGAGAUACGGCCCAGACUCCUACGGGAGGCAGCAGUGGGGAAUAUUGCGCAAUGGUCGAAAGACUGACGCAGCGACGCCGCGUGUGGGAGGAAGCCUUUCGGGGUGUAAACCACUGUCAGGUGGGAAGAAACACGCGUGUCCAAACAGGGCGCGCGCUUGACGGUACCACCAGAGGAAGCGCCGGCUAACUCCGUGCCAGCAGCCGCGGUAAGACGGAGGGCGCGAGCGUUGUUCGGAAUUACUGGGCGUAAAGCGCGGGCAGGUGGUCCGCUAAGUCUUCUGUGAAACUCCGGGGCUCAACCCCGGACAUGCAGGAGAUACUGGCGGACUAGAGACCGGUAGAGGCCAGUGGAAUUCCUGGUGUAGCGGUGGAAUGUGUAGAUAUCAGGAAGAACACCAGUGGCGAAGGCGGCUGGCUGGGCCGCGUCUGACA